AGCAAUAAGAUUCAAUCUCAACCCCCACAUAUAAAGUGGUGCCUACACAUAUUUCAUCGACAACCUAUGUAUUUUCACUUCUUUGCAAUCGGUGACAUUAGCCUAGCUGGCUUUUAAUUGAUCGAUCAUUCGAUAUCCUUGCAUGUGUUCUAUCCCUAGUUCUUCAUUGCUCAAGGCUGAUGGUGGGUGCAGUCGUGCAGGGCUGAGGGACCCAAGCCCUCC
rnacentral:lncRNA from 1 species